GAUAGAACGCUGGCGGCGCGCCUAACACAUGCAAGUCGAACGGCACCCGACCUCCGGGUGGAAGCGAGUGGCGAACGGCUGAGUAACACGUGGAGAACCUGCCCCCUCCCCCGGGAUAGCCGCCCGAAAGGACGGGUAAUACCGGAUACCCCGGGGCGCCGCAUGGCGCCCCGGCUAAAGCCCCGACGGGAGGGGAUGGCUCCGCGGCCCAUCAGGUAGACGGCGGGGUGACGGCCCACCGUGCCGACAACGGGUAGCCGGGUUGAGAGACCGACCGGCCAGAUUGGGACUGAGACACGGCCCAG
rnacentral:rRNA from 1 species